rnacentral:lncRNA from 1 species
UGACAUUCAACCAAGAGAGAAAAUAAUGAGAGAAACAAGAAAGAGAAUAAUAAAAGGAAAAAUACAAAAUGAAAAUCAAUUAUUGACUGGAAAAAUAAGAGGGAGAGCCCGAGAUUUUAGAGAGAGAAAGAGAGGGGGUGGGAGAGAGAGGUAGAGGAAAUAUUUAAGAACUAGAGUGUGAGGAUGGGGAGAGAGAGCCCGAGAUUUUAGAGAGAGAAAGAGAGGGGGUGGGAGAGAGAGAGGCAAUAUUUAAGAACUAGAGUGUCGAGGGUGAGAGAGAGCCCGAGGUUUUAGAGAGAGAAAGAGAGGGGGUGGGAGAGAGAGGUAGAGGCAAUAUAUAAGAACCUGAGCUUCUAGAGUGUGAGGAUGGGGGCAAGAGAGAGAUGAGCUUCUAUAGAGAGAGAGAGCCUGAGAUUUUAGAGAGAGAGAGAGAGAGAGAGAGGAGAGAGAGUAGAGGAAUAUUACUAGUGCAGAGGAGAGAGAGAGAGAGAGAGAGAGAGAGAGAG